GACGAACGCUGGCGGCGUGCUUAACACAUGCAAGUCGAACGGAAAGGCCCUGCUUUUGUGGGGUGCUCGAUUGGCGAACGGGUGAGUAACACGUGAGUAACCUGCCCUUGAAUUUGGGAUAACUUCAGGAAACUGGGGCUAAUACCGGGUAGUAGCUCCUGCUGCACGGUGGGGGUUGGAAAGUUUCGGCGGUUGGGGAUGGACUCGAGGCUUAUCAGCUUGUUGGUGGGGUAGUUGCUUACCAAGGCUUUGACGGGUAGGCGGCAUGGGAGGGUGACCGGCCACAUUGGGCCUGAGAUACGGACCAGAAUCCAACGGGAGGCAGCAGGGGGGAGUAUUGCACAAUGGGCGGAAGCCUGAUGCAGCAACGCCGCGUGCGGGAUGACGGCCUUCGAGUUGUAAACAGCUUUCGACUGUGACGAAGCGUGAGUGACGGUAAUGGGUAAAGAAGCACCGGCUAACUACGUG
rnacentral:rRNA from 1 species